UAGGGAAUAUUAGUAAUGGGCGAAAGCCUGAACUAGCAACGCCGCGUGUGCGAAGAAGGCCUUCGGGUUGUAAAGCACUUUUUGAGAGGAUGAGGAAGGACGGUACUCUCAGAAUAAGUCUCGGCUAACUACGUGCCAGCAACCGCGGUAACACGUAGGAGGCAAACGUUAUCCGGAUUUACUGGGCGUAAAGCGCGUGUAGGUGGUUUGGUAAGUAGGGCGUGAAAGCUCCUGGCUCAACUGGGAGAGGCCGUUCUAAACUGCCGAACUAGAGGAUGGUAGAGGGAGGUGGAAUUCCGGGUGUAGCGGUGGAAUGCGCAGAUAUCCGGAGGAACACCAGUGGCGAAAGCGGCCUCCUGGACCAUUCCUGACACUCAGACGCGUAAGCUAGGGUAGCAAACGG
rnacentral:rRNA from 1 species